ensembl:Mt_rRNA
GCCAACCCUAGCCCAAAUCCUAUCCAACUUUACUAUAUAAAUACAUUAAUCAAACCAUUUACCCUUUAUAAGAGUAUAGGCGAUAGAAAUUUUACCUUAGGAGCAAUAGAUAUAGUACCGCAAGGGAAAGACAACCUCAUAGGCAUAAAAAAGCAAAGAUAAGCCCUUCUACCUUCUGCAUAAUGAAUUAACUAGAUAUGGCCUUAUAUAGAGAACUUCAACAACGCCCCCCGAAACCAGACGAGCUACCCAAAGAUAGCUGAAAGAGCACACCCGUCUAUGUAGCAAAAUAGUGGGAAAAUCUAUGGGUAGAGGCGACAAACCUAUCGAGCCUGGUGAUAGCUGGUUGUCCAAGACAGAAUUUUAGUUCAGCUUUAAACUUACCUAUAGAAAUACCCAGUCCCCUCGUAAGUUUAACUGUUAGUCUAAAGAGGAACAGCUCUUUAGACCAAAGAGAACAACCUUAACAUAGAGAGUAAGACACUUCACCACUACAGUUGGCCUAGAAGCAGCCAUCAAUUAAGAAAGCGUUUAAGCUCAACAUACAACAACUCUUAAUCCUAUACAUAUUACCGAACUCCUAUUACACAUUGGACUAAUCUAUUAACUAAUAGAAGCAAUAAUGUUAGUAUGAGUAACAUGAAAUUAUUCUCCCUGCAUAAGCUUAUCUCAGACCAAAACAAUUACCGUUAGUUAACAGCUAAACCACAGAACCCUACAACCUAACACACUAUUACCCUAACUGUUAACCCAACACAGGCAUGCACUAAGGAAAGAUUAAAAAAAGUAAAAGGAACUCGGCAAACUCUACCCCCGCCUGUUUACCAAAAACAUCACCUCUAGCAUUACUAAUAUUAGAGGCACUGCCUGCCCAGUGACCUAUGUUCAACGGCCGCGGUACCCUAACCGUGCAAAGGUAGCAUAAUCACUUGUUCUCUAAAUAAGGACUUGUAUGAAUGGCCACACGAGGGUUUAACUGUCUCUUACUUCUAAUCAGUGAAAUUGACCUAUCCGUGAAGAGGCGGAUAUAUACAAAUAAGACGAGAAGACCCUAUGGAGCUUCAAUUUAAUAGUACAAACCAAUAUACUAAAAACCUACAGGCACUAACUUAUCAUCAAUGUACUAUGAAUUUCGGUUGGGGUGACCUCGGAGCAUAACACAACCCCCGAAAAACACAUACCAAGACCUCACUAGUCUAAGUAAACCUGCCCCUAUUGAUCCAAUAACUUGAUCAAUGGACCAAGUUACCCUAGGGAUAACAGCGCAAUCCUAUUUUAGAGUCCGUAUCGACAAUAGGGUUUACGACCUCGAUGUUGGAUCAAGACAUCCCAAUGGUGCAGCCGCUAUUAAUGGUUCGUUUGUUCAACGAUUAAAGUCUUACGUGAUCUGAGUUCAGACCGGAGAAAUCCAGGUCGGUUUCUAUCUAUUAAAUAUUCCUCCCAGUACGAAAGGACAAGAGAAAUAGAGCCCACUUAACAAAGCGCCCUCAUAAAUCAGAUGAUUCCUAUCUCAAUCAACGAACUAUUACCCUCACCCAAGAACAAGGGCUA